UUUUCAAAAACUGAACCGUAGAAACUAAACCGAAACCAACUCAUGUGCGGUUUGGUUGCUUCCAUUAAGGAUAUUUUGGUCCGAAAAUGAUUGACAAGACAAACGGUAAAAAUCAUAUCUCACUUUGACAAAUCAUGGGAGUAAUUCUUUUUUCGUCCACUAAUGUGAAAAAUUCUUUUUAA
rnacentral:sRNA from 1 species